UAUUGCUUUGCUCAUGUCGGUCGGUCUGUCCGUCCACCAGGUGGUUGUCAGACGAUAACUCAAGAACGCUUGGGCCUAGGAUCAUGAAACUUCAUAGGUACAUUGAUCAUGACUUGCAGAUGACCCCUAUUGAUUUUGAGGUCACUAGGUCAAAGGUCAAGGUCACGGUGACCCGAAAUAGUAAAAUGGUUUCCGGAGGAUAACUCAAGAACGCAUACGCCUAGGAUCAUGAAACUUCAUGGGUAGAUUGAUCAUGACUCGCAGAUGACCCCUAUUGAUUUUGAGGUCACUAGGUCAAAAAUCAAGGUCACGGUGACCCGAAAUAGUAAAAUGGUUUUCGGAUGAUAACUCAAGAACGCAUACGCCUAGGAUCAUGAAACUUCAUAGGUAGAUUGAUCAUGACUUGCAGAUGACCCCUAUUGAUUUUGAGGUCAUAAGGUCAAAGGUCAAGGUCACGGUGACCCGAAAUAGUAAAAUGGUUUCCGGAUGAUAACUCAAGAACGCAUACGCCUAGGAUCAUGAAACUUCAUGGGUAGAUUGAUCAUGACUCGCAGAUGACCCCUAUUGAUUUUGAGGUCACUAGGUCAAAGGUCAAGGUCACGGUGACCCGAAAUAGUAAAAUGGUUUCCGGAUGAUAACUCAAGAAUGCAUAGGCCUAGGAUCAUACAACUUCAUGGGUAGAUUGAUCAUGACUCGCAGAUGACCCCUAUUGAUUUUCAGGUCACUAGGUCAAAGGUCAAGGUCACGGUGACCCGAAAUAGAAAAAUGAUUUUCGUAUGAUAACUCAAGAACGCAUAUGUCUAGGAUCAUGAAACUUCAUAGGUAGAUUGAUCAUGACUCGCAGAUGACCCCUAUUGAUUUUGAGGUCACAAGGUCAAAGGUCAAGGUCACGGUGACCCGAAAUAGUAAAAUGAUUUUCGGAUGAUAACUCGAGAACGCUUUUGCCUAGGAUCAUGACACUUCAUAGGUACAUUGAU